CCUCCUCCGGCCCGCGCCCUCCCCUCGGCUCCCCCCGCCCCGCUUCCCCACUACGCUUGGCGCCCGCUCCCCUCUCCUGCCCCGCCGCGCGCUGCACCGGUAAUCCGCACAGCCCCCGCGGUUCCCGGGCGCGCCACCCCCGGGGUCCGGGCCGGGGGAUCGCUGACGCCCUGGCCGCUGCUCCUUUAAUCUUUUUGUUUUGGUUUGAAUCUGCUUGGCGCAGACUGGCCAAGGAUCCUCUCCGCCCUCCCCCUUCCUCCCGGCGCCCGGGAGGCACCGGAUAUCUCCACCCUCCCCACGAUCUAAAAGCCGGAUUUGACUCCUCUAAAAGGGUGAGGGGGGCGGCGAGGGCCCGCGCGUCCGGCUACCGCCGCGGCCCACAGCCGGCGGCAGCCCGGGGCGUCCUCGGAGCUGCGCGGCGCCCAGCGGCCGGCGCAGGCGCCUCCCCUUCCCGUGCGGAGCGUUCACUUCCUUGCAAGGUGGUACGAAUCAACCCCGAGCGCGGCCGGGGCGGCGGGGCACGGCCCGGGCCCGGGGCCGGGCGGGGAGCCCUGGGCGCCGGUGCGGGCGCAGGAGCACCCAGCGCCGGACAGGGGGUGCCCAGGGCAUUCUGCGCCCCAGGCUGUUGGCCCUUGUUCCCGCAACGCCUCGCCCGUGUCGCCUUGCCCUUAGUCUGUCCCAUGGUGACGUUGGCGAGAGGAGGAGGAGUAAAAACUGAAGCCGGAAAAGCAGCUCGAUGUGUCUGUCUAUCAGUUGAGACUGUCUGAAAGCUCUGCGAUCCGAAUGUGUGUUAUAUUUCACUGAAAAGAGGAGCGAGCGAGAGUGCAUCUCCUCUCUCCCAGGAGUUUGGGGGGGACCGUCCACGCUCAUCUCGCCCACCCAGUGAAUGUCUGCUCUUCACCCCUUCGCGCACACUCUCCGGGUUGUUGUUGUUGGCUUUUUUUUUUUUUUUUUCUCGGAAGGGGGGGGUGCUUUUUGUGUAUUUUUCAAAAUUUUUCUGUUGGAAGAUCAAGACCGGCCAAAAAUCCAUGAUCAAAAUGUGUUUGCAUUAGAUUUCGCCUCCGAAGAAGCGGCGAUCCUGGCGGCACAGCCCCGCGGGGAGCGCGGGGCACCAAGUGGCGCUCCGGCGGCGGGUGACACUGUUUGAUCUGUGACUGUUUGGAAGGUGGAGCAGCGCCUGACAUCUCCCCCCCGGCGCAUGUAUGUACGGGGGCUUCACUCCUCUGUCUUGUUUGCUUUCUUCCUCUUAGACUAAGUGCGGGGAGGAAAAGGACAGCCCGGAUCGGCCUCGCCGGCGCACAAUGAGCAAGCUGCGACCCGCGCACUAAAAACACUCGCCGCGACCCCCGCACCGCCUGGAGCGAGGGGGAGAGAAAGUUGCGCUCCGAGACUCUCGGCUCGCGGAGGAAGGCGCAGGGCAGCGCCCGCAGAGGCGCCCGGAGGAGCGCCCGCCAGCAGCACCGCGGCGGCGGGGAGGCGGCAGCAUGGAG
rnacentral:lncRNA from 1 species